AUGUGACGCCAUGGGGGUAGGACGCUGGGAACUAUUCUCUGCUAGCAGAGACUUCAAUCAAUACUCCUGAGUCAUCAGAAUACUUCAAAGUAACUGCCAAGCUGAUGCCAUCAAAAUAAAAGGAAACCAAGCAUGUUUGGAAAAAAUGUCAAAAAUCGAAGAGGGAGAAGGGAUUUCAUUGGCAACAGACUUAAUGAGGCAUUAAUGUCAGUUUUGCCAUUUGUAAUGUGUUGUUUCUUUUGAUGACUGAUGUCUGAUGUGAGAACUUGAAUGAGAAAAGCAAAAGAGCGGGACAUCCCUUCUACUCUUUAACCUCAUCAGGAAACAAAAUGCACAGCUGAAAUGGGUUGUUUUAAUCUCCUUCUAAAAGUCAGAUAACCCUCCUGUGAGUCAUCCUAUUUCCUUUUCCAGAUAUUGGAGCAUAUGAACAUGUGUCAGCCAUUGCUUUUUCCCUCCAUUUUUGA